rnacentral:rRNA from 1 species
UACGUAGGGUGCAAGCGUUGUCCGGAAUUAUUGGGCGUAAAGAGCUCGUAGGCGGUCUGUCGCGUCGGCUGUGAAAUCCCGAGGCUCAACCUCGGGUCUGCAGUCGAUACGGGCAAACUGGAGUGUUGCAGGGGAGACUGGAAUUCCUGGUGUAGCGGUGAAAUGCGCAGAUAUCAGGAGGAACACCGGUGGCGAAGGCGGGUCUCUGGUCUGUAACUGACGCUGAGGCGCGAAAGCGUGGGGAGCAAACAGG